AAAAAGUAUUGCUUUUGAACUCUACAUUCUUGUAAUUGGAGUUGUGAACUAUAUAAUGUGAUGAAGUUGUUAAUAACCAUACUAAAAAUGAAUAUGGAUGUGCAGAGACUGAACUUAUGACAAACUAUCCAGGCUUGUGUUGUUGAGACAAACCAUCUGUACUCAACUUCGGACUCUUCCUUCUUCUGAGGUCUUGAACUUCAUGUGGCUAAAGUUUUACCUCAUUUGGUGCUAUUUCCAGUUCUGGUCACUGGUUUGUGACAUUGAGGCCCCAGAGAACAUGCCAAGGUCUAUCAAUAACUGCUACGACUUGUAGAAUUUAUGGAAAAAUUGACAUGCUUCAUACAAUAAAUGGCUUGUGAGGUACAUGUAUAUUCCUCUUGGGGGUACGCAUAGAAAGCUACUCAAUAUAUGGGUUGUAUUCACAUUUGUUGCUGUAUGGCAUGAUCUAGAGUGCUUAUUCCCUUUGGUGUCAGGAAACUUCUUUCAUGGGCAUGGUUGACAUAUUUAUUCUUUAUACCAGAAAUGGUGGUGAAAUCAGUGGCAAAUGGAUUACAGGCGGUCUAUCGAUAACUUUCCAAUACUCUGAUUUUUAUAAUAUGGCACUAAAUUUGAACUCUGCUUGCAAUCUAAUCUCUUUAUUUCCUAAUAUAUGAUAUGUUCUCAAAUCUCAGGCAGAGUACUGUUGGGGAGCUUCUUUUUCGAGAAUUUAGUGCUGUUGUUGGUGCUGUCACCAUCACAUGUCUAAUGGUUGCAAACCUUACCAUCAGGCAUUAAUUGGUUUAUUUCACAAUUUCUUACAAGAAAAGGUAAAUUAACACCUUGCUCCUAUAUCUCCUAUAUCACCCUAAUUUCCAAUAUUGGUAAUACACGUGCAGCUGCAUAUUUGGUGCAAUAUUUGUCUUGUAGGAUUGCCUAUACUGGGUGGCAUGUUUAUAACAUUUUAUGUUGGGACAAAGGUAUAUGUCAUGAACUGUCUCAAGUAUUAAAUUGAACAUGUAAUCUGUGUUGAGGUUUCAUGAUCUCUGAUGGUUUGAUUACAAUGUUGCUCAUUUGUAUGUGUUGAAAUCUAGUUAUUUUGCGGCUUAUGUUCUACAUUGAUGAUGCCAAGCAAGAGAAGCACUGAACAAAGUGGACUAUGAAGUUUUCAUAGUCAGCCUAUACUACCAACGCGGAUGUCCCGUUGUUAAAAGUGGGGAGGAAAACGUGCCGGCAAAAAAUAGGAUAGAUGACAAUGCAAUAGAUUGAGCCUCUAAUUUGAUGGCUGGGUGUUUACAUAGUUUGCUUCAUGAGCACAUUUAGUUUGUUCAAUGUACACAAUUACUCAAGUACGAGGUUUGUUGCCUGCUGACACACGUGUUUUUUCAGUAAAUGACAACUUUGAUAAAAUUUCAGGUCACAA